rnacentral:rRNA from 1 species
UAGUCCACGCCGUAAACGUUGGGCACUAGGUGUGGGGUUCUAUCGACGGAUUCCGUGCCGUAGCUAACGCAUUAAGUGCCCCGCCUGGGGAGUACGGCCGCAAGGCUAAAACUCAAAGGAAUUGACGGGGGCCCGCACAAGCGGCGGAGCAUGUGGCUUAAUUCGAUGCGACGCGAAGAACCUUACCUGGGUUUGACAUGUAGGGAAAAGCCGUAGAGAUACGGUGUCCUUCGGGGCCUUACAC